rnacentral:rRNA from 1 species
UACGUAGGUGGCAAGCGUUGUCCGGAUUUAUUGGGUUUAACGGGUGCGUAGGCGGUCUUAUAAGUCAGUGCUGAAAUAUCCCGGCUUAACCGGGAGGGUGGCAUUGAUACUGUAGGACUUGAGUAAAGUUGAGGUUGGCGGAAUUGACGGUGUAGCGGCGAAAUGCUUAGAUAUCGUCAAGAACACCGAUAGUGAAGACAGCUAACUAAGCUUUAACUGACGCUGAGGCACGAAAGUGUGGGGAUCAAACAGG